GUCGGUCCACAAGGACUCAUCGCAUAAUUUGCUAAUGUGUGCCUAUACAUUCGCCACACAAAAGUCGAGUUCCACCACCGAGGAAGCACAACUGUGUCAGAUCUUUUGUACGUUUUCUCGUGUAAUUUAUUUGACAGUUUGACAAUUUGAAAAAAGAACCACGCUAACCAGCAGAUGAACGACCUGAAAAAGCGUGUGCAAAUGGCCGAGGGCACACAAAGGUUCCGGCCUCAGCGAUGACGUCGCAACAGUGGCAAGCGGCGCGUCGCGUCGCACACCUCUCGGACUACUGCAAGGCGCUAAUGUUGAAUUAAACGAGCGCUGACAGCGGCAUAAACAAGAGCAAGCCGCGCACAAGGGAGCUCCCCAGCAGGCAGCUCCACACACAAGACCUGGAUUUAUAUGUCACACUUUUACGUACGAGGGUGUGUACAUACAUACAUCCAUACAUAUGUGCCUAUGCAUAUUUAUGAUAAAUUGUCGCUGCUGGGAACGUGUCGCUGAUAUUUUGUUGCCUACAAAAACGUACAGAAAAUGAAAACAGCCUCCGUCCCGAUGAAAGAAAAAACACCACAGAAGUCAAAGUCAGCAUGAAUGUUUGUGCGAAAUUUUAAUAACCUAGCAAAC
rnacentral:lncRNA from 1 species